UGCAAGUCGAGCGGAUCUCUUCGGAGAUCAGCGGCGGACGGGUGAGUAACACGUGGGCAACCUGCCUGUAAGACUGGGAUAACUCCGGGAAACCGGAGCUAAUACCGGAUACUAUGUCAAACCGCAUGGUUUGACAUUCAAAGACGGUUUCGGCUGUCACUUACAGAUGGGCCCGCGGCGCAUUAGCUAGUUGGUGAGGUAAUGGCUCACCAAGGCGACGAUGCGUAGCCGACCUGAGAGGGUGAUCGGCCACACUGGGACUGAGACACGGCCCAGACUCCUACGGGAGGCAGCAGUAGGGAAUCUUCCGCAAUGGACGAAAGUCUGACGGAGCAACGCCGCGUGAGUGAUGAAGGUUUUCGGAUCGUAAAACUCUGUUGUCAGGGAAGAACAAGUGCCGGAGUAACUGCCGGCACCUUGACGGUACCUGACCAGAAAGCCACGGCUAACUACGUGCCAGCAGCCGCGGUAAUACGUAGGUGGCAAGCGUUGUCCGGAAUUAUUGGGCGUAAAGCGCGCGCAGGCGGUUUCUUAAGUCUGAUGUGAAAGCCCCCGGCUCAACCGGGGAGGGUCAUUGGAAACUGGGAAACUUGAGUGCAGAAGAGGAGAGUGGAAUUCCACGUGUAGCGGUGAAAUGCGUAGAGAUGUGGAGGAACACCAGUGGCGAAGGCGACUCUCUGGUCUGUAACUGACGCUGAGGCGCGAAAGCGUGGGGAG
rnacentral:rRNA from 2 species